AAGAAAGAAGCAUAAGCGGUGUAUGCGGUUGGCUUGAAACCAGCAUAUGAGGGUUCAAUUCCUUCCUUUCUUG
rnacentral:tRNA from 1 species